UACGUAGGUCCCGAGCGUUGUCCGGAUUUAUUGGGCGUAAGGCGAGCGCAGGUGGUUUAUUAAGUCUGGUGUAAAGGCAGUGGCUCAACCAUUGUAUGCAUUGGAAACUGGUAGACUUGAGUGCAGGAGAGGAGAGUGGAAUUCCAUGUGUAGCGGUGAAAUGCGUAGAUAUAUGGAGGAACACCGGUGGCGAAAGCGGCUCUCUGGCCUGUAACUGACACUGAGGCUCGAAAGCGUGGGGAGCAAACAGG
rnacentral:rRNA from 1 species